rnacentral:rRNA from 1 species
UACGUAGGGCGCAAGCGUUGUCCGGAAUUAUUGGGCGUAAAGAGCUCGUAGGCGGCUUGUCACGUCGAUUGUGAAAGCCCGAGGCUUAACCUCGGGUCUGCAGUCGAUACGGGCUAGCUAGAGUGUGGUAGGGGAGAUCGGAAUUCCUGGUGUAGCGGUGAAAUGCGCAGAUAUCAGGAGGAACACCGGUGGCGAAGGCGGAUCUCUGGGCCAUUACUGACGCUGAGGAGCGAAGGCGUGGGGAGCGAACAGG